rnacentral:rRNA from 1 species
CGUGGUCCCGCCUUAUGUUUUUUCUCGCCCCGCUUUCGUCGUGUGUCCCCCACGCCUGAGUGACGCUGGUCCCCCUCCUUUUCGACACCGCCCGUCUCCUCGCAGACUGUCGCUUUGUACCANAUGACCCCCUGUCGGGACCUCAAAGAUUUAUCGCUUCAGGAGAGGAUGGCCUUGGGUAAUUAUUAAACUAAUUCGGUGAGCGAAGGUGCCCUAUCAAGAAUGUGUCGCAUCCUUGAUUCUGCCUCUCUUAAGGAUGAUCACCCACCCUGGGACUGAGACACGGCCCACACUCCUACGGGAGGCAGCAGUGGGGAAUAUUGGACAAUGGGCGCAAGCCUGAUCCAGCCAUGCCGCGUGAGUGAUGAAGGCCUUAGGGUUGUAAAGCUCUUUCAGCGGAGAAGAUGAUGACGGUACCCAGAGAAGAAGCCCCGGCUAACUCCGUGCCAGCAGCCGCGGUAAUACAGAGGGCGCUAGCGUUGUUCGGAAUUACUGGGCGUAAAGCGCGCGUACGCAGUCUUGUCACGUCAGGUGGGAAAACCCCGAGCUC